rnacentral:misc_RNA from 1 species
GAUGAAGAACGCAGCGAAAUGCGAUAAGUAAUGUGAAUUGCAGAAUUCAGUGAAUCAUCGAAUCUUUGAACGCACAUUGCGCCCGCCAGUAUUCUGGCGGGCAUGCCUGUUCGAGCGUCAUUUCAACCACCAAGCCCCAGGCUUGUGUUGGGGACCUGCGGCUGCCGCAGGCCCUGAAAACCAGUGGCGGGCUCGCUGUCACACCGGGCGUAGUAGAUUUUAUCUCGCUCAGGGCGUGCUGCGGGUCCCGGCCGUUAAAAGCCUUUUUUUACCCAAGGUUGACCUCGGAUCAGGUAGGAAGACCCGCUGAACUUAAGCAUAUCAAUAAGCGGAGGA